ensembl:lncRNA
GGAGCCUUGUAGCCAACUUACUGAUUUGCCACCAGGCCCUGCAAGAUGAUUGCCAUAAAGAAAAUCCUUUGGAAAAGAAGAGCAUACCUUCUAAGGAAGAAAUGGUCCAUGCAUUUGGGCUGGCAACUCACAAAAGAGAUGCCGCCUGACACUGGGACGGAUUUCAAGUCUGAGAAAACCGCUGGGGUUUCCCAACACGCCCAGCCCACCGCGCUCCAUUCACCGGCCGGCCCGUCUUGGCGGAGGUCAUCCUUUCGGUCACGAAGAUGACUUUACAAGUCUCAGUUGUAUCAAUUAAAGCACCGCGAUGUGAGAGAGGCCCCGUUUUAUUUCUCAGGUGUCUUUACUGGCUGAAAUAUGGACUCCUCUGCCACUCGUGGCCUUCUUCGCGGCCCUUGCUGCCUCCCUCCUGUGUAUUUGUGCAUGUUUUUGUUACGGCGUGCUUUCGUCUAGAUUUGAGUAAUAUGUCCCUCUGACUGUCCACUCUCUUCCCCAGAGACAGCGAGCUCCUUAUGAGCGGGCAAGGAGCCUCAUCGGCGUGUGUGCACAUCUCCCAGGCCUGCUACAGCUCAGUAAAUAUGCUUAUUAAACUCAGCUAACCCUCCACCUCGCCCCUACCAUCACCUUUCAGACUGCAUUGGAAUUUGGGUAUCUUCUAUAAUCAUCCUAGUUUGUCUGUAAUUCCCAAGAAUUUAUGACUCUGUGUUAAAAAAGAAAUGUAGAAAAGGAAACGCCAAUGCAACAAGCACUCUUAGCUGUCAGAGAGCCCUGCUUUGCUUUCAUUGAGCAUUUGUAGAGUGUCACUAGAUUUUCCUAUACUUGGAAUUUUUUUUUUAAUUAGAUUUUCUCUAGCUUGAUCUUCAGUUCUAAAUGUUUCUUAGAGUGCUUUUCAAUUUCCAAAGGACUUCAUCAAUUUCACAGAGUAUAGGUCCAAUGUACACAAUAAAAUCCUUUGCUCUUUUAUAAAUGUGGGCUUUUUGCAUCGACAUUUGAAAAAGCCAAAAUGUAUGUGACUUUUGUUAUAAAGAUGUUACCGCCUUUCUGUUACUCAAAAGAAAGGGAAAAAUGCAUUAGACGGUUGAGAUCUGAUGGACUUGAAACCCUCCUGUCUUAAUACCGUGUUGGCAAGCCUAUGUACUCCAUGCCAUUUGAAUCCUUUUGGAGGGAUCUAAAAAACACAUGGUUUAAAGGGACACCGCACAUUUGAAUUUAGAAGGGGAGAAAGAGUUAAGUGACCAUCACCAAUUACAGCCUCAGAGGGGGUGAUUAAGAUCAAAAUUGCAGGGAGGUUUUUAAUUUAGCUGCCUGCAGAAGCAGCCCCCAUUGAGCCAAACUCAUCAGAUCACACACACGCUCCAUCUCUUUGCCCUCUACUGCCAUUGACAGCAAUUGUAUCAGAAAGGGCACCAAAUAGACUGUGUGGCCUGAUACCCUUUGCCUGUGUGUCUACCAGAGUCCCCUGCCCAUUUUACUAGAGAGAGUGAGAUGGAGCAAAUCAGGGAGAAGUGUGAAGUAUGACUAUGCAGUUUGUUCAAUUUGUCUACUUUGCACGAUUCCUUCUUGUUGCCAAUAUGUAUAAAUAUAGCUGUGGAUCGUGUUAAGACACAGGCUUUGGUUUGUUGCUAUGUGCACUCUCUGCUAUAGCGUCAUGUCCCAAGCCAUCUACAUCUAUUUUAUCAGAAGUGCAUUCACCCGCACGAAUUUUUUCCCUUAUGCUAAGUAUAAGCCUAAAUGGCAGUGCUUAUUAUACUGAUAACAUGUGUGAUGGGUGUGAGGAGUUACUUUGAAGAUGUGUGUGAGUGAGUGAGCUUCCUUUGGACUUUGUAUAAGGGUGCUCUUAUCAAGAGCAACCUUCUAGUAACACUGCUAAUAACUCCUUCCACUUCUGCACGGCUUCCUGUGUGCCUGGCACUGUGCUAAGGAUUUGGCCGCAUCACCUCUGAUGCUGAUAACACCUGGAAUGCAGUUCUCUUCUACCCCGCCAUGCACUGAUUGUGGACAUAGAUGAAAAUGCCAAACAACGCUUGCCUAUAAACAUGCUUGGAAUGUUAUGCACUGCUUCUGAGAUACACUUAUUGAUAGGGCUGCACAUCCAUUAUUUAUACAGAUAAGGCCAAUAUAAUUGAACUUCAUAUUAACAUAAAGCCAGUAUAAAUAUUUAUAAAUUAACAUUUAAUUAAUAUGUUGGCUUAAGCAGGUUUCUAUUGGUAGUACAUAGCCAAUGACAUUGUAAAAUUUCAGAAUAGUAUACAGAGUAAGUGUUUGUAAAGCUAAGAAGCCUAUUUUUCAUUUGAAAAAAAAAAUGCAGGUUGAAAUCCAGACCCAAUGGACCAUUUCUUAUGAUUUUGCUGAUACUAUAUCUUUGAAUAUGAAUGUGGGCCUAUAGUUAAGUGUUCAAGGCCUCUUAAUUUAAUUAGGAAUAAUGAAAUAUUUUCAGGAUUCCCAUUAAGAACAUUUACUGACGAAUACAGUUUAUUCUUUUCAGACUAGAGCUUGACUUAAUUCAACAUUCUGAUUACAUUGCCCUAUAGUAGUAGGGUGGUCUCCUCAAAAUAAUGAUAAUCCUCAAUUCAGUACUUUGAAAACAGCCAACUUUUCUCCUUGUUUAAUGGGCUCCAAAUCAGGAAACUAAAUUAAUCAGAAAAGUCUUUGGCUCAAGUAAUAAUGCAUUUUCAAUUCAAAUUUUUACUUUGUAGAUCUAUCUAUUCAUUAUGUGUUCCUAAAGAAGACACAAUGACAAUGAGGUCAUUUAACUCCAGCCCAACAAAAUGUCUGAAAAGAUUUAUUUCAUACAACCGUACUUACUUUGUUGAAUGUCAAAUAUUUUCACACUUUAAAAGCUAAAGAUUUUAACUGCUCAUAUUGCAAACAUUAAUAUUAAAUAUAUAAUAUCUUAUAAAAUAUAAUAUAUAUACAUAUACAUAUAUGUAUACAUGAAAUAGGGGAUACACAAAGAUAUAAAAUCACUGAGCCUAUUAAAAAGCUAGUAAAUGUCUUAAGAAAACAACUUCUGUAUAUAAUAAUCCAAGGAGCUUAUAGCCUUUAUUAUGUCAGAAAACUUCCUCUAUGUUUAAUUGCCUCUUUUUAUUUCUGGAAGAUUCUGUCUUAUUUUUCAUUCUAAAAUUUUCUCAUUCGUUACUAUACAAUCUGUUCCUGACCAAGUAACUCAGACCAGUUUAUAUGAAAAACUUUCUAAUGUGAGAAAAAGUUAAAGUUAAGAAAAGUGUUUUUAUUCCUUUCAAAAUUUUAUUCAACUGCAAUCUGUGUAGAUAAAUAAGGCAGUAAUUUAUAGUUAAAAUUUAUUCUGUUGCUUUUUGACAAAUCUGAAAAUGUUCAUGAAGAGUAUAUUGCAAGUCUGAUCAUUCUUAGAAUGCAGACUAUGGGACAAAAAGCUAUUUAGUGAUUUCAAACUGCAGUGAUAUAUACUUAAAUGGUAAAAACAUUAAAAUAAAACCAACAUGAAUUACAGUUAAGAAUUAGAUUUUUGACAUCCUUUUCUGUCAGUUAGCACAAAUAAAAUACAAGUCAAUACAUUCACCUAUAAUUGGGGCUAGUUACAGUUUGCAUACAUUUCAAAAGAUGUAUAAAUAAAUAGUAAUGUAACACAGACCACCAAAAUAAGAAGAAAAUAGCCUUAAAUUUUAAUGCUGUAGACUCUGAUUUAAAUAUUGAGCUAUAUUUCUCUAAAGAUUGAACUUUUCACAUGACAAUGUAACUUGUAUCCAACUAAUUCAAAAAUGAAAAGACUAAAAAUAUUCAUGUCUAUAUUUUUCUUUAAAUUAUAAUAUUUUGUCUGUGCCUUAGGACUUCUUUAAAUAUGAAGCAAUCCAUCUCAGUUUGCACUUGAACACAUGGCCUAAGUAACUCUUUUUCACAGUUUGAUACCAAAGAAUAUUCAUUUAUGAAAAAAAUUACAAUGGUAUUUUUAAGUUUCUCAAUUUAAAAUUAAAAUGAGUCUUGCCACACUUCAAUAUGAACAAUGAAUCCUUUAUUUUGGUAAUUUAAAUUUCAAGAAAGAAUAGAAAUUCUUUUGUCCUCUAGCAUUGCAAUUUGUUGAGUAAUUUUUCAUUAACUCAAAUGCUAAUUAUCACACUAAUAUUUAUUUAAAUGUAU